GAUGAAGAACGCAGCGAAAUGCGAUAAGUAAUGUGAAUUGCAGAAUUCAGUGAAUCAUCGAAUCUUUGAACGCACAUUGCGCCCCCUGGCAUUCCGGGGGGCAUGCCUGUUCGAGCGUCAUUUCACCACUCAAGCCUCGCUUGGUAUUGGGCAACGCGGUCCGCCGCGUGCCUCAAAUCGACCGGCUGGGUCUUCUGUCCCCUAAGCGUUGUGGAAACUAUUCGCUAAAGGGUGUUCGGGAGGCUACGCCGUAAAACAACCCCAUUUCUAAGGUUGACCUCGGAUCAGGUAGGGAUACCCGCUGAACUUAAGCAUAUCAAUAAGCGGAGGA
rnacentral:misc_RNA from 1 species